rnacentral:rRNA from 1 species
UACGGGGGGGGCAAGCGUUGUUCGGAAUUACUGGGCGUAAAGGGUUCGUAGGUGGCCACCUAAGUCAGACGUGAAAUCCCUCAGCUUAACUGGGGAACUGCGUCUGAUACUGGGUGGCUUGAGUGCAGGAGAGGAAUGCGGAAUUCCAGGUGUAGCGGUGAAAUGCGUAGAGAUCCGGAGGAACACCAGCGGCGAAGGCGGCGUCCUGGACUGGUACUGACGCUCAGGAGCGAAAGCGUGGGGAGCGAUCCGG